UGUUUAGAUAAAAAUAUGCAUUAUUUCAAUUUCUUUUCUUCCAUUCAUUAUAUGUGGAUAACAAGCCUUUUAUUUCCUGCUAUUGGAUGGACUUAUAGCAGAUCCACAGUCUUCAUAUAUUAAUGGUGCAAAUUGUGGAGUUAAAGCAUGUUAAUUGUCAAGUGGGUAGGCUUUCACAGCCGAAAUUUAAGCAGCAUGAUGCAGUUGAGAGAUAUGUGAUAGAGCAUUGACGUAACUAUAAUGGAGUUAAAUCAAAUUACUAACACCUUCACUCGCUUUCAAUCAAACACUAUCAUCUCUGAUAGUGAUAUAUAAGAUGUGCACAAUCUUCCCUAUCUUCUCUUUUAUGCUAAUAAUUCUUUUUUUUGUUCUUGCAUACUAUUAGCACGUUUUAUUAACAGGACAUUGUAGUGCUUUCUUCCACAGAUUGAUCAAUGAAUGAUUAA